UCGGGAAUUUUGGGCAAUGGGCGAAAGCCUGACCCAGCAACGCCGCGUGAAGGAUGAAAUCCCUCGGGAUGUAAACUUCGCAAGAAUGGGAAGAAUUAGUAGGGGUCAAUAACCCCUAUGAUGACGGUACCAUUUGUAAGCUCCGGCUAACUCCGUGCCAGCAGCCGCGGUAAUACGGGGGGAGCAAGCGUUGUUCGGAUUUACUGGGCGUAAAGGGCGCGUAGGCGGCCAGCGCAAGUCAGUUGUGAAAUCUCCGGGCUUAACUCGGAAAGGUCAACUGAUACUGCGCGGCUAGAGUGCGGAAGGGGCAACUGGAAUUCUCGGUGUAGCGGUGAAAUGCGUAGAUAUCGAGAGGAACACCUGCGGCGAAGGCGGGUUGCUGGGCCGACACUGACGCUGAGGCGCGAAAGCCAGGGGAGCGAAC
rnacentral:rRNA from 1 species